ACUAUGAAGCAGUUAGUUCAUCACUUGGUGUUAGCCUCGUUCUUUGGGCUGUACCCUCUCCAGGCCAGGCAAAGGGGUCUCUGCUCUAAUGCGGGUCGCCUGGGCCAGUUUGAUCUCCAGCGAUCGGAAUGUCCUAUCCUCCUCUACUGCUGGGAGCCUGUCUGAAAUUGUCUGAAGCCAGUGGUAUUUCCGCGCAGAAGGAAAGGCGAGCAGGCGAGGUGGGUGCAGGUGCGGGGGAGAGGCUCGGCCGGCUCCCGGGGCAGCGGGGCACGGCACCCGUAGGGUGUGGAGUCCGCCUGGCGCACGUGGCUCUGGGUCGGCUGCAGGAGAGAUCGGAGGCCGGGGAUCUGCCGCAGUGGGUGCCUCCGGUCCGAUCCCCGCUCCCAGCACCUCGCGGGCUGGGAGGGAAGGGGGUGAGGGGACGCUCGGGCUCGGCGGGGGUUGGGGGAACUCUGGCCUGGAGGCUGAGGGCGACAGAGAUGCACCGGGCGCCGGCGGACGAAGGCGGUGAAACUCGUGCUGGAGGCAGUCACCGACUCUAGGGUCGGGCCCCGCUGCUCAGCGCUUUCCCAGAGGCAGAGAAGGGACCCCGGGCCCUGGGGCGGGGGUGGUACAAGGUUCUGUGGCGGACGAGGGCUGUUCCCAGUGUUUGUACAGCUGGGAUCUCGGCCACCCCCCGGGGUGACCCGAGUGGCACCGGCGGGGGUGGGUAAAGGGAGGGAGAGAGAGAAGGGUAGGUGACCAAGAGGUGGUGAGUAGUGCGGUCCAGGCUUGGGGUGGAAGGUACGGAUGGUUGAGGUCACUGGUUGUCGCUCUCAGGGCAGACCUAACAGGGGAAGCGCGCUCGGUUCCCUUCUCCCAGUUUUUCUGCAAGCCCUCCGGCUGAGGACCCGAGGUAGUGGUGUUCCCACGGUUUCUGGCCGCUGGGCAGUUUCUUUGCGCCCAGCCGCCUGCCCCGGGCUCCACCUCUUGGUAGCCUGGGGCUCACAAAAUUCAGGACACCGUCAUCCGUUCUGCAGUCUCGCUGUCAGGCUCCACGUUGGAGUGGCUCGGAGACUGGUCGCCCUGACCCUGCGCUGGGCGAGCCAAGCCUCCUGCAGACCCUGUGCGAGCAGACUAGGUUUGUGAUUCCUCAAACCAGGCCUGACAGUCUACCCAGGCGCGGCUGGGCUAGGUCAACCACAGCCUCUUUGAGGAACAAGCAGCGAGGCCCACAGUGUGGUGGGCGGCCAGAAUCAUCCCGAACUGUUUUCAGACCUAGGGCCUCUCAACUCGGUGUCCACCCCAUCCUCUGCUAUGUUACCGCCGGUGGGCACACUCGCCUGUACAGGGAAGGACCUGUGAGUGGAGAGGCCGCCCUCCUUGGGGUCUCCUCUGUCUGUCACAUCUGUAUUUAUUUAGAGCUCAGCUGGUGGUCCUUGGUUUCAGGAAUGCCAAUUGUGGGCCUAGUCCACGACUACUUGAGAUUUGUGUUGAUUAGUGAGCUAGUCCUAAAGGUUGUGCUGUGGAAAUUUCCCCAACCUUCCUGCUAACCUAGGCCCCCAGUGAUUCCCACGGCAGCAGAUUGCUGAAUGUGUCCGAGAACAGAGAAUUUAGCUUCGAGAACAUUCUGUGUGUAUGGGCACUGACCAUUGCCCUUGUGUUCAUAAAUAAUACAGACCAGAUCUCUGAGAUCCCCUCGCUGAGUCAGAGAAGGUGAUCCGUGCAGUCUAGCACUGGGUAGUGUACCUUUCUCUGUGUGAAACUAAGACAUAUGUAUUGCUACAAGUCUAUAACAGUACAUACAGCAUAAAAAUGCAGAAGCAACCUGCACUGGAGAGCAGACCCUCCCAGAAAAGCUAAUUAAAAGUUCAUCAGCGAAAAGCAAGCUCACUUCCAAAUUUCGACGCUCCUGGGGUGGCGGGGAAGACUGAACAUUUUUUAUUUUAUUUUAUAAGGCUCAAAAAAUUUGGUCUGAUUUUUGCCUUUGGACUUGGUAUAAUUAAGGGUGAAAAUAAGAGCCCUCUGUAUUUUCCUUGCUUAUGGAGAAAAGUUAUUUUAGUAAUCAGGGAAAGAGGAACCAUGGGCUGAAUCAGCAAAAAUGCGGCACUGGGCCAGUUCAGCUCAAUAAUACUGGUAUGUGUAAUGUACACACGCUAUGUACCUCUGUGGAAAUAAUCAAAGAUAUAUAUUGGAAUUUUCGUGGUAUAAGCCAUGCCUGUGAAGCCCCUUGGUAGCCGAGAAGCCAGGGUGACUGAGAGUCAUGUCUUCUGAUACAUGAAAACGUGUUCUGAACACACAACAAGUGUUUGAUCCCACAACUGCAUUUAAUGUGGAAACAAACAAGAAACACAACUCUCAACACAAAGUAGUUUGUCUUUUCCAAGUGGUCAUGCUGCAAACUGUUCAAACAGAGUCUCCGCUGUGUUUGUGUGACAAGAGUUCAAGGUGGCUCUAGUGGAUAGAAUCUUUACUUUUUAAAUUUUUGCAUCAAUAAAAUUGUUUCUCGAUCUUGUUCUCUUGCUUCUUGCUUCCCUCUUAUUGUUCCCUCUUGGUCUCUUCCCUUCCCCCUUCCCUUCCCCCUUCCCUUAAAAUAAAAUAAAAUAAAAUAAAAUAAAAUAAAAUAAAAUUGUUUCUCCAAAAUGUCUCCUUACAAGGCUCCUGAUAGACCCCAUUAGAACUCUGCUGAGCGGCUGAGCAUGCAGCCCGCAUUGGCGUGAGAGAAAUAUGUGUAUUUUAAACUUGCUUGGAGGAAGCGACUUGUUUGGAAUGUUGCUUCUAGUUCUUCAAGGGUUGACCUGAGUUUGAAAACCCUGUGAAACAAAAGUGUACACAGUAUCUUUAGGCACAGAGCCUUAGUAUUUCUGGGAAUCCUCUCCACUGUUCUAGUUCCUACAGGAGAGUUGCAAUGGGUGUGUCUUUUUAAAAACCUAGCACACUGCAUGGAGAAGCAGCCUAAAGCGUCUGCUUCAUCUGUCUCUUCGAUCACGUCAAAACUUCAAUUAAUCACCAAGUAUGAGCUUGGGGCUUAAAUCAUUUAGGGUACAGAUGAUUUUAAGUUGUUUCAGCAUAACGC
rnacentral:lncRNA from 1 species